rnacentral:rRNA from 1 species
CCUACGGGCGGCAGCAGUAGGGAAUAUUUCUCAAUGGGGGAAACCCUGAAGCAGCAACGCCGCGUGGAGGAUGAAGGUUUUCGGAUUGUAAACCCCCUUUGUUAGAGAAGAUAAUGACGGUAUCUAACGAAUAAGCACCGGCUAACUCCGUGCCAGCAGCCGCGGUAACACGGAGGGUGCAAGCGUUACUCGGAAUCACUGGGCGUAAAGAGCGCGUAGGCGGGAUAGCAAGUCAGGUGUGAAAUGCUAUGGCUUAACCAUAGAACUGCAUUUGAAACUGUUAUUCUAGAGUAAGGGAGAGGUAGGUGGAAUUCUUGGUGUAGGGGUGAAAUCCGUAGAGAUCAAGAGGAAUACUCAUGGCGAAGGCGGGCUGCUAGAACAUAACUGACGCUGAUGCGCGAAAGCGUGGGGAGCAAACAGGAUUAGAUACCCGAGUAGUC